CAAUAGCGUAUAUUAAAGUUGUUGCAGUUAAAAAGUUCGUAGUUGGAUUUGUGGCGUACGGUGUGUUCCGGGCACUUGUUGUCUGAGUAACCUGCUGUUGCCAUCCUUGGGUGGAACCUGUGUGGCAUUAGGUUGUCGUGCAGGGGAUGCCCAUCAUUUACUGUGAAAAAAUUAGAGUGUUCAAAGCAGGCUUAUGCCGUUGAAUAUAUUAGCAUGGAAUAAUGAGAUAGGACUUUUUUGCUAUUUUGUUGGUUUGCGCAAAGGGGUAAUGAUUAAUAGGGACAGUUGGGGGUAUUCGUAUUCCAUUGUCAGAGGUGAAAUUCUUGGAUUUUUGGAAGACGAACUACUGCGAAAGCAUUUACCAAGGAUGUUUUCAUUAA
rnacentral:rRNA from 1 species